rnacentral:rRNA from 1 species
UACGAAGGGGGCUAGCGUUGCUCGGAAUCACUGGGCGUAAAGCGCACGUAGGCGGAUCUUUAAGUCAGGGGUGAAAUCCCAAGGCUCAACCUUGGAAACUGCCUUUGAUACUGGGGAUCUCGAGUCCGGAAGAGGUUGGUGGAACUGCGAGUGUAGAGGUGAAAUUCGUAGAUAUUCGCAAGAACACCAGUGGCGAAGGCGGCCAACUGGUCCGGUACUGGACGCUGAGGUGCGAAAGCGUGGGGAGCAA